rnacentral:rRNA from 1 species
GACGAACGUUGGCGGCGUGCUUAAUACAUGCAAGUCAACUGAAGCAGUGGUAGCAAUAUCGCUGUGGAGGUGGCGCACGGGUGAGUAACACGUAGGUAAUCUGCCUUCAGGUCUGGCAUAACUCCGGGAAACCGGGGCUAAUAGCAGAUGAUGCAGCGGCUCGACAUCGAGACAGUUGUUAAAGCUAUGGCGCCUGAAGAUGAGCCUGCGUCUGAUUAGCUAGUUGGCGGGGUAACGGCCCACCAAGGCAACGAUCAGUAGCUGGUCUGAGAGGAUGAUCAGCCACACUGGGACUGAGACACGGUCCAGACUCCUACGGGAGGCAGCAGUAAGGAAUAUUGCUCAAUGGGAGAAAUCCUGAAGCAGCAACGCCGCGUGAGGGACGAAGGGCUUUUGCUUGUAAACCUCUGUAGUGAGAGAAAAAAAUCCCAAUCUUUGGGACAUGAUGGUAUCUCAAAAGUAAGCCCCGGCUAACUACGUG